GUUUACAUUCUAUGGGUAGGAGAAAGGAAAUAGUUGCCGGAGUGACUGCAGAAAGACCAUCGCGACAGAUUUGCUUAUUUAGAUCUGAGCUAUUUAGCUGUUAUUUUGAUAACGUGUCAGCAUUACUAUAGUGUUUAAGCUUCAAAGGAAUUAUCAGUGAUGUCCUGAUUUGGCAGUGCAUUUUUUUUUUUUGGUUCAGCCCAAGCAGAUGGCCUCUCCCUUCACUGAGAUGGAGUGGUACACCAUUCUCUUUUCUUUGAUAGUGUUUAGUCUGUUUACCCUACAUGGUCUAAUACAGGAGAGCUGCAUGCCAACUACAGCCAGUGAAGAUAUCAAAGAGGGACUUCAGGAGCUGAUCAAUGUUUGAGACAGCCUGGAUCUUUCAAGACUCAAGACUUAUGGUGCAGCAUGCAUUACUUGAGAUCAGAUUUGUUUUAAAAUAAGACUAUUUUGUGAUCAAUGAUUUCUGUGCGAUGUGAAUCAAUUAAUUAAGUGUUUUCUGAAGACUGAUUUGGGACAAGCAACAUGGUGGAUCCUUAUACCUUAUGGAUAUAAAGAACUCUGCAACAUCAUCAUGAGUGGUUCAAUUAUAUGACCUGACCUGCAUGCCGCUACCUUUAUUAGACUUUCAAGCUCAUCGGCUGGACUAAAUCCAGCUGCAAAUCCAGACUCCAGUCGGCCUUUAUCACCCUCUGAGGCUUGAUUAGCCUGAUUAGGGGCCAGGUGUGUAGCAUCACGACCCGGCCCGCCCUCCACCCUGUCACAGUAUGUAAAUCUAUUAUUCUCACCUCUCUCUCUCUGUACACAGUGUUAAGAGUCUACAAAUAUAAUUGCUGACACUGUAAAAGAACAUAUUUUAUCAAGUAUACAGCAUAUUACACCUAAAGGGAUCUGUGCAUAUACAAUGAACAAAACGUGUGUCAUUUUUGUUUAUUAAAAUAUAAAAAGAUUUGAUAUAUUUUAACAUUUAUUUUUAAAUUUGAAAUAUCAAUUAUCUGUUUGCCAUUAUAGAAGGUAAUAAUGUUUGUAAGAGUUACUAAUGAAAGUUAUUAAAAAGUGUGGUAACACUUUACAUAAAUGUUCCCUUUGUUAAGGGUUUAUAAAGGAGGUUAUUACUGAUUAAUGACUAAUUUAUAUAUGCAUAAUAAAUCAUUGAUAUGCAUUUAAAACAGCAUGCAAAAAAGGGUGACUUUCAUCAUGUAAUACCUGAAAAUUUGUCAGACAUUUUACCUACCAUGAUCCUUUUAAUUUCACUAUAAUAAUAUAUUAUUGAUGCAUUAUAACACAAAUCAUGAAUUAGUGUAUUUUAUGUUUUAGUUUAUUACAAGUAUGAAAAUGUGUACUUAUUAAGCUUGUAUAACAUACACUGUAAGUUAAAAUACUCACUGUUUUACAUGAAAGUUGCACUUUUUCUUCAUGUUGUUAUAACUGCAUUUAUAAAUAAGUUAUAAUUCAAUAAUGAACACAUUUAUAGACCCUUAAUAAAGGGAACAUUAUUGUUAAGUGUUACCUACAGGGUUACAGAGAAAAUCUAACUGUUCAAAUAUGGGGGUGUCAGGGUUAGUAAAAGAUUCAAAAGUUUGAAAAACCUUAUUAUGCUAUAAAUGAUAUAUUAUGCAGUAACCUUUUACAAUUAUAUGUAUUACAUUAUUUUAUUUUCAUUUAUUUUUGAUGAUGAUGACGAUGACAAAUUGAAGUUCUGUAAUUUAGCUUCAUAUAUAAAAAGGUUUUCAUUAUCAUGUAAUUUUGUCUAUACAACACCACUUCACCUGUGUAGGGCCAAUAUCAGGAACCUCAUCACUGCAACAAUAUUUAUCACUAUUGUCUAUUAUAGUGUUGCUUUAAUUGGUAGAUUCUUUCACUGUACAUAAAUGCUCUUCUUCUGCCUUUCCAUUUACACAUCCACAACUACGCAUCUGCAUCAAUGGCUGAAUGGAGUGUAUUGAUCCUGACUGUGCUCAAGCAGCUUGAUAAUGAGGUUUCUCUGUUCAGCCAGUCUUAUAUGUAUGUCUUCAGGAUCCUGCUUAUCUGAGCUGCUUCUAUCUUCCACAUUUUUCAUUAUAUCUAUCAGCCAUAGAAAUCUUUUUGAGAGCAAUGAUGGAAUGGUUUAUGCUGUAUUAGCGUUUGUUAGGCCUAUCGUGUUUUUAUAAUAUAGCUGACAGUCUUGCCUUCAUCUAUGUACUGUAUGUCUGUGUAUGUAUGUGUGUGUAUAGGGAUGUGAUUGUGUGUGUUUGUUAUGGAUCUGCCGUUUUCAGGUUUUGAGUUGGUCUUCAUCUUCAUUGCGUUUACUAUUAUGUGCUUAUUUGGCCUGGCUGCUGUCUACAGAUAUAAUACAGAUUAUCAAGAUGAUUACACUCAGACAGAGCAGAAGACAAAGCGACGAAAGAACUCAAAAGAAAAAGAGUGUGCUGUCAUCAAAACCAACCAUGAGCUACCAUGAACAUACAAACAUGCACAUUUUAAUUCAUACUGCCGUUGACCAGGGGACAAGCUGUGUUUGAAGAUGUCUGUCAAGGGAAAAGAGAUUGAAAAUGGAAAUCUUUCAGUUCAUCCUCAAGACACAUACAUUUCCCUCUAGAAUUUCGCUGAUUGGCUUGAACUUGUGUGACCACAAUACGUAAUUAACCAGCAAGAAAGGUACUGCAUUCCAGGCAAAAGAACAGUUUUUACCCUCAGGCCAUUUUCCACAUGAACAUAUUGCAAAAAUUUAAAUACAAAUCUCAUGUACAUAUGUAAAUUCACUCAUAUUCAAUAACUGCACAUACAUUACCACUUGCACAUGUGCAUACGCCAUACUGUUAUAUGUCCUAUUAUUUGUACUCCUACCUUGUUUUAUAUUCUGUGUCUCACUGUAAUGUUCUGAGUGCACUUGCUUGCACUUGCUUCUCCUAUGAUUUUUUUUUUUUUUAAUCCUUGUAUGUGAGAACACUGCAAUAAAGCUCAUUCUGGUUUGGGGUGUCCUCUACUGGUGAAAAGUGCAAUUACAUAUCUGAUGUUAUUGUUUUCCAGAUACAGUGGGAUCCAGAAAUCUGAGAUGAGACUGCAUUGUGUAAAUCAGGGGUUUUCAAACUUUAUUACACCAAGGACCCCAAAUCCACCUGCAAGGGACCCCCUGUUUUAGAUAAAUAGAAAACGUGAUAUUUUAAAGACAUGAGGUUUUCUCAAAUAAAUAAUUGUCUUUUAUCAGUGCCAUUGUACUAAAGAAAAAAAGAAAAAUUCAAGACCUAAAAUGGUAUUAGAAAAAUAUUUACUUUUUAUUCAGUUGACAGUGUGUCUUUUUUUUUUUCUAUUGUAGUAAUGUAAACGUUUACACCUGAACUGAAAUAUAUUUGUGUGGCGCUUUUCAUAAUAAAUUGUUUAAUGCAGAUUUGAAAGAAAAUAGAAAAGUACAUUUAUGCAAAUUAUAAAACAUUUUGUUAGACAUGAAUUUCUAUGCAGGUUUGGGUUUUUUUUCUUACUGUU